UUAUUUAUAUAUAUAUAUAUACAAUUCUUGUGUCAAGUGUUUGUGGUCGCAAUCCUCCGAAACGGCAUGACCGAUUUUAAUGAAAUUUUUCCGUAUAUUUGGUGGUAUGAGAAAAUAGGUCGUUAAGUAUUUUUCGCCAUCCUAACCCCGCCCAUCAUUUUUUAAUCGUGAUUUUAGUAUUUUAAUUCGGUUUUUAGGUAUUAUUAAAUUAUUUAUUUUUAUGGAUUACCUUGUUUACACGGAUGAAAUGAA